GACGAACGCUGGCGGCGUGCCUAAUACAUGCAAGUAGAACGCUGAAGGAGGAGCUUGCUCUUCUGGAUGAGUUGCGAACGGGUGAGUAACGCGUAGGUAACCUGCCUGGUAGCGGGGGAUAACUAUUGGAAACGAUAGCUAAUACCGCAUAAAAACGGUUGUUGCAUGACAACUGUUUGAAAGGUGCAAUUGCAUCACUACCAGAUGGACCUGCGUUGUAUUAGCUAGUUGGUGGGGUAACGGCUCACCAAGGCGACGAUACAUAGCCGACCUGAGAGGGUGAUCGGCCACACUGGGACUGAGACACGGCCCAGACUCCUACGGGAGGCAGCAGUAGGGAAUCUUCGGCAAUGGACGGAAGUCUGACCGAGCAACGCCGCGUGAGUGAAGAAGGUUUUCGGAUCGUAAAGCUCUGUUGUAAGAGAAGAACGAGUGUGAGAGUGGAAAGUUCACA
rnacentral:rRNA from 1 species